UAACUACCCAUCAGAGGGGGAUAACACUUGGAAACAGGUGCUAAUACCGCAUAACAGUUUAUGCCGCAUGGCAUAAGAGUGAAAGGCGCUUCGGGUGUCGCUGAUGGAUGGACCCGCGGUGCAUUAGCUAGUUGGUGAGGUAACGGCUCACCAAGGCCACGAUGCAUAGCCGACCUGAGAGGGUGAUCGGCCACACUGGGACUGAGACACGGCCCAG
rnacentral:rRNA from 1 species